AAUCACCAGAAGGACACAGCGGGCUGAGCUGGACGUGGUCCUAGCGGCCUUUGUGUCCGGUGCUUGCCUGAGCCCCAGCUCGGGGUGAUUCUCCCGGUGCUGGGGUGGUCCGGCAUGGGCUUCCUCAGACAGAUACAGCUUUUGCUUUGGAAGAACUGGACUCUGAGGAAAAGGCAGAAGAUUCGCUUUGUAGUGGAACUCGUGUGGCCUUUGUCUUUGUUUUUGGUGUUAAUCUGGCUGAGGAAUGCCAACCCACUCUAUAGUCAGCAUGAAUGCCAUUUUCCCAACAAGGCGAUGCCUUCAGCAGGACUGUUACCGUGGCUCCAGGGGAUUUUCUGCAAUAUGAACAACCCUUGUUUUCAAAACCCCACCCCUGGAGAGUCUCCUGGAACUGUCUCAAACUAUAACAACUCCAUCUUGGCAAGAGUAUAUCGAGAUUUUCAAGAACUCUUCAUGGACACCCCGGAGGUCCAGCACCUUGGCCAGGUUUGGGCCGAGCUCCGCACCUUGUCGCAGUUCAUGGACACCCUGAGGACUCACCCUGAGAGAUUUGCAGGAAGAGGAUUACAAAUCCGAGACAUCCUAAAAGAUGAAGAGGCGCUGACCCUAUUUCUCAUGAGAAACAUUGGCCUGUCUGACUCGGUUGCCCAUCUUCUGGUCAACUCCCAAGUUCGUGUGGAGCAGUUUGCUUAUGGAGUCCCAGACUUGGAACUGACAGACAUUGCCUGCAGCGAGGCCCUCCUGCAGCGCUUCAUCAUCUUCAGCCAGCGUCGGGGGGCACAGACGGUACGCGAUGCCCUGUGUCCCCUCUCCCAGGUCACCCUACAGUGGAUAGAAGACACUCUGUAUGCCGAUGUGGACUUCUUCAAACUCUUCCAUGUGCUCCCCACACUCCUGGACAGCAGUUCUCAAGGAAUCAACUUGAGAUUUUGGGGAGGAAUAUUAUCUGAUCUGUCACCAAGAAUGCAAAAGUUUAUCCAUCGGCCAAGUGUUCAAGACUUGCUAUGGGUGAGCAGACCUCUCCUGCAGAACGGUGGUCCUGAGACCUUCACACAGCUGAUGAGCAUCCUGUCUGACCUCCUGUGUGGGUACCCAGAGGGAGGAGGCUCCCGAGUGUUCUCCUUUAACUGGUAUGAAGACAAUAACUAUAAAGCCUUCCUGGGGAUUGAUUCCACAAGGAAAGACCCCGCCUAUUCUUACGACAAAAGAACAACAUCCUUUUGUAAUUCAUUGAUCCAGAGCCUGGAGUCAAACCCUUUAACCAAAAUAGCCUGGAGGGCGGCAAAGCCAUUGCUGAUGGGAAAAAUCCUCUUUACUCCAGAUUCCCCUGCUGCUCGAAGGAUAAUGAAGAAUGCCAACUCAACUUUUGAAGAACUGGAUCGAGUUAGGAAGUUGGUAAAAGCCUGGGAGGAAGUGGGGCCCCAGAUCUGGUACUUCUUUGAGAAGAGCACACAGAUGACCGUGAUCCGAGACACCCUGCAGCACCCAACCGUCAAAGACUUCAUAAAUAGGCAGCUCGGAGAAGAAGGCAUUACCACCGAAGCCGUAUUAAACUUCUUCUCUAACGGUCCCCAAGAGAAGCAGGCUGAUGAUAUGACCAGCUUUGACUGGAGGGACAUAUUCAACAUCACUGACCGAUUCCUACGCUUGGCUAAUCAAUACCUGGAGUGUCUGGUCCUGGAUAAGUUUGAAAGUUAUGAUGAUGAAGUGCAGCUCACCCAACGAGCCCUGUCUCUCCUGGAGGAGAACAGGUUCUGGGCCGGAGUGGUGUUCCCUGGCAUGUAUCCCUGGGCCAGCUCCUUACCUCCUCAUGUGAAGUACAAGAUUCGGAUGGACAUAGAUGUGGUGGAGAAGACCAAUAAGAUCAAAGACAGGUACUGGGAUUCUGGUCCCAGGGCGGAUCCUGUCGAAGAUUUCCGGUACAUCUGGGGAGGUUUUGCCUAUCUACAGGACAUGGUGGAGCAAGGAAUCGUGAAGAGUCAGAUGCAGGCAGAGCCUCCAAUUGGAGUCUAUCUCCAACAGAUGCCUUAUCCCUGCUUUGUGGAUGACUCCUUCAUGAUCAUCCUGAAUCGCUGUUUCCCUAUCUUCAUGGUGCUGGCGUGGAUCUACUCUGUCUCCAUGACCGUUAAGGGCAUUGUUUUGGAGAAGGAGCUGAGGCUGAAGGAGACCUUGAAAAACCAAGGCGUCUCUAAUGCUGUCAUCUGGUGUACCUGGUUCCUGGAUAGCUUCUCCAUCAUGGCGCUGAGUAUCUUCCUCCUGACGCUGUUCAUCAUGCAUGGAAGGAUCCUCCAUUACAGCGAUCCCUUCAUUCUCUUCCUGUUCUUGUUGGCCUUUGCCACUGCGACCAUCAUGCAGAGCUUCCUGCUCAGUACUUUGUUUUCCAAGGCCAGCCUUGCAGCAGCCUGCAGUGGGGUCAUCUACUUCACCCUCUACCUACCACACGUUCUGUGCUUUGCCUGGCAGGACCGGAUGACGGCCGACCUGAAGACGACUGUGAGCCUACUUUCUUCCGUGGCAUUUGGGUUUGGCACCGAGUACCUGGUCCGCUUUGAGGAGCAAGGCCUGGGGCUGCAAUGGAGCAACAUUGGGAAGAGUCCCCUGGAAGGGGAUGAGUUCAGUUUCCUGCUGUCUAUGAAGAUGAUGCUUCUCGAUGCUGCUCUCUACGGCUUGCUUGCUUGGUAUCUUGACCAGGUUUUCCCAGGAGACUAUGGGACCCCACUUCCCUGGUACUUCCUUCUGCAGGAGUCCUACUGGCUUGGUGGUGAAGGUUGUUCGACCAGAGAAGAAAGGGCUCUGGAAAAGACUGAACCCUUAACAGAGGAGAUGGAGGAUCCAGAGCACCCAGAAGGAAUGAAUGACUCCUUUUUUGAACGCGAGCUUCCAGGGCUGGUGCCUGGUGUGUGUGUGAAGAACCUGGUGAAGGUUUUUGAGCCCAGUGGCCGGCCAGCUGUGGACCGUCUGAACAUCACUUUCUAUGAGAACCAAAUCACGGCGUUCCUGGGUCACAACGGAGCGGGAAAGACCACCACCUUGUCCAUCCUGACAGGACUGUUGCCACCGACGUCAGGAACUGUGCUCAUUGGGGGAAAAGACAUUGAAACCAACCUGGAUGUAGUACGGCAGAGCCUGGGCAUGUGUCCACAACACAACAUCCUGUUUCAUCACCUCACGGUGGCUGAGCACAUCUUGUUCUAUGCCCAGCUGAAAGGGAGAUCCUGGGAGGAGGCCCAGCUUGAGAUGGAAGCCAUGCUAGAAGACACGGGCCUCCACCAUAAGAGGAAUGAAGAAGCUCAGGACCUUUCAGGUGGCAUGCAGAGGAAGCUGUCUGUUGCCAUUGCUUUUGUGGGAGAUUCUAAGGUGGUGGUCCUGGAUGAGCCCACCUCUGGGGUGGACCCCUACUCCAGACGCUCCAUCUGGGACCUGCUCCUGAAGUAUCGCUCAGGCAGAACCAUCAUCAUGUCCACUCACCACAUGGACGAGGCAGACCUCCUUGGGGACCGCAUUGCCAUCAUUUCUCAGGGAAGGCUCUACUGCUCUGGAACCCCGCUCUUCCUCAAGAACUGCUUUGGCACAGGCUUCUACUUGACCUUAGUUCGCAAGAUGAAAAACAUCCAGAGCCAAAGAGGUGGCUGUGAGGGGGUCUGCAGCUGUACAUCAAAGGGUUUCUCUACCAGGUGUCCAACCCGAGUCGAUGAGAUAACAGAAGAACAAGUCCUGGAUGGAGAUGUGCAGGAGCUGAUGGAUUUGGUAUACCACCAUGUCCCAGAGGCAAAGCUGGUGGAAUGCAUUGGUCAAGAACUUAUCUUCCUCCUUCCAAACAAGAAUUUCAAGCAGAGAGCAUAUGCCAGCCUUUUCCGAGAGCUGGAGGAGACUCUGGCUGACCUGGGGCUCAGCAGCUUUGGAAUUUCUGACACUCCCCUGGAAGAGAUUUUCCUGAAGGUCACAGAGGAUGCUGGAGCGGGCUCUAUGUUUGUAGGUGGCGCUCAGCAGAAAAGAGAACAAGCCGGUCUCCGGCACCCUUGUUCGGCUCCCACUGAGAAGCUCAGGCAGUAUGCCCAGGCCCCACAUACCUGUUCCCCAGGACAAGUGGAUCCUCCCAAGGGCCAACCUUCCCCAGAGCCAGAGGACCCCGGUGUCCCAUUCAACACAGGUGCUCGGCUGAUUCUUCAACAUGUGCAGGCCCUGCUAGUCAAGCGAUUCCAUCACACCAUCCGCAGCCGCAAGGACUUUGUGGCUCAGAUUGUUCUCCCUGCCACUUUCGUGUUCUUGGCUCUGAUGCUUUCAAUCAUUGUGCCUCCGUUUGGUGAAUUUCCAGCUUUGACUCUUCAUCCCUGGAUGUAUGGGCAUCAAUAUACCUUCUUCAGCAUGGACGAACCCAACAAUGAACACCUUGAAGUACUGGCAGAUGUCCUUCUGAACAGGCCAGGCUUUGGCAACCGUUGUCUAAAGGAAGAGUGGCUUCCGGAGUACCCAUGCAUUAAUGCAACCUCCUGGAAGACGCCCUCCGUGUCCCCGAACAUCACCCACCUGUUCCAGAAGCAGAAAUGGACAGCAGCCCACCCCUCUCCCUCCUGCAAGUGCAGCACCAGAGAGAAGCUCACCAUGUUGCCCGAGUGCCCCGAGGGUGCUGGAGGGCUCCCACCCCCACAGAGGACACAGCGCAGCACUGAAGUCCUACAAGACCUCACGAACAGGAACAUCUCCGACUACUUGGUAAAAACGUACCCUGCUCUCAUAAGAAGCAGCUUAAAGAGCAAAUUCUGGGUCAAUGAACAGAGGUAUGGAGGAAUUUCCAUCGGAGGAAAACUCCCUGCUAUCCCCAUCAGCGGGGAAGCACUUGUUGGCUUUCUAAGUGGCCUUGGCCAGAUGAUGAACGUGAGCGGGGGUCCUGUCACCAGGGAGGCCUCCAAAGAAAUGUUAGAUUUCCUCAAACAUCUUGAAACCACAGACAACAUUAAGGUAUGGUUUAACAACAAGGGCUGGCAUGCCCUGGUCAGCUUUCUGAAUGUGGCUCACAACGCCAUCUUACGGGCCAGCCUGCCCAGGGACAGGGACCCUGAGGAGUAUGGAAUCACUGUCAUCAGCCAGCCUCUGAACCUGACCAAGGAGCAGCUCUCGGACAUCACAGUACUGACUACUUCCGUGGAUGCCGUGGUUGCCAUAUGUGUGAUUUUCGCCAUGUCCUUCGUUCCAGCCAGCUUUGUCCUUUACUUGAUCCAGGAGAGGGUGACGAAAGCUAAACAUUUGCAGUUUAUCAGUGGUGUGAGCCCCACCACCUACUGGCUGACCAACUUCCUCUGGGAUAUUAUGAAUUAUGCUGUGAGUGCGGGAUUGGUGGUGGGCAUCUUCAUUGGAUUUCAAAAGAAAGCCUACACAUCCCCAGACAACCUUCCUGCUCUCGUCUCUCUGCUCAUGCUGUAUGGAUGGGCAGUCAUUCCUAUGAUGUAUCCAGCAUCCUUCCUGUUUGAAGUCCCCAGCACAGCCUAUGUGGCUUUGUCCUGUGCUAACCUGUUCAUCGGCAUCAACAGCAGCGCCAUCACCUUCGUCCUGGAAUUAUUUGAGAAUAACCGGACGCUGCUCAGGUUCAAUGCCAUGUUGAGGAAGUUGCUCAUUGUCUUCCCCCACUUCUGCCUGGGCAGGGGCCUCAUUGACCUGGCACUGAGCCAAGCUGUGACAGACGUCUAUGCCCAGUUUGGUGAGGAGUACUCUGCAAACCCAUUCCAGUGGGACCUGAUUGGGAAGAACCUGGUUGCUAUGGCAAUAGAAGGGGUGGUAUACUUCCUUCUGACCCUGCUCAUCCAACACCAUUUUUUCCUCACCCGGUGGAUCGCUGAGCCUGCUAGAGAGCCCGUUUUUGAUGAAGAUGACGAUGUGGCUGAAGAAAGACAAAGAGUUAUGAGUGGGGGAAAUAAAACCGACAUCUUAAAGCUAAACGAACUAACCAAGGUUUACUCAGGCUCUUCCAGUCCAGCAGUAGAUCGGUUAUGUGUUGGAGUUCGACCUGGAGAGUGCUUUGGCCUCCUGGGAGUGAAUGGUGCAGGCAAAACCACCACAUUCAAGAUGCUCACUGGGGACACCACAGUGACAUCGGGGGAUGCUACUGUGGCAGGCAAGAGCAUUUUAACUAGUAUUUCUGAUGUCCAUCAAAACAUGGGCUACUGUCCUCAGUUUGAUGCAAUCGAUGACCUGCUCACAGGCAGAGAACACCUUUACCUCUAUGCCAGGCUGCGGGGCGUGCCAUCGAAGGAAAUCGAGAAGGUUGCCAACUGGGGUAUCCAGAGCCUGGGCUUGUCUCUCUACGCUGACCGCCUGGCAGGCACCUACAGUGGAGGCAAUAAGAGGAAACUCUCUACAGCCAUAGCUCUCACUGGCUGCCCUCCCCUGCUGCUGCUGGUGAGGGCAUCGUACUCUGCAGAGUGGAAAUGUCACGGACGUCCUGAGUUGAGAAAAUUAAUUCAGGGCUUGCAGCUUUAGAACGGCAAUAGAUUGCCCCUUUAAGGCAAAUUAGCCAAGUGUUUGGUCACAGCACAGUCUGACCUUCAAUGCCUGGAAAGUCUCUAGAAGGUCCAGAAACUCAGACUGGAAAGCCCUGUCAGCUCCAGGGAAUGUUGCGAUCUGGUUAGAAAUUAGGAUGAGGAAAUCUGUGUGGACCGGAGCAUCUACUUCAAUCAGAGGCUCCGGGGACCCUCUCGUGAAUUGGACCACAGUAGAGUCCCUGAGACCAUGCAGUCUGGGUUUUAAAUGACAUGGGACAUAGAGAGGACUGUAAAGUUACUUGGGCUAUCCCCCUCCCCUGACCCUUCCUAAGGAUAAUUCUACUAUUGUCUUUAUUAAUUUAUUGUUAUUGUUCAUAUUAUUAUUAUUAUCCUAUUUCUGUAUUUCUAUUAUCCUAACCUUAAUUCACUCACAGCUGGCAUGGUCCUAUAGGAUGAGCCCACGACAGGGAUGGAUCCCCAGGCACGCCGCAUGCUGUGGAACACCAUUGUGAGCAUCAUCAGAGAAGGGAGAGCUGUGGUUCUCACCUCCCACAGCAUGGAAGAAUGUGAAGCUCUGUGUACGCGGCUGGCCAUCAUGGUGAAGGGCACCUUUCAGUGUCUGGGUACCAUCCAACACCUCAAGUACAAGUUUGGAGACGGCUACAUUGUCACAAUGAAAAUCAAAUCUCCAAAGGACGACUUGCUUCCCGAUUUGAAUCCUGUGGAGCAGUUCUUCCAGGGCAACUUCCCUGGCAGCGUGCAGAGGGAGAGACACCACAGCAUGCUCCAGUUCCAGGUCCCCUCGUCCUCCCUGGCCAGGAUCUUCCAGCUGCUCAUUUCCCACAAGGACAGCCUGCUCAUCGAGGAGUACUCAGUCACCCAGACCACGCUGGACCAGGUGUUUGUAAACUUCGCUAAACAGCAGACUGAGACCUAUGACCUCCCUCUGCACCCCCGGGCUGCUGGAGCCAGCUGGCAAGCCAAGCUUGAAGAGAAAUCCGGACGGCUGCAGACACAGGAGCCUUUGCCCGCAGGAUCUGAACAACUGGCUAACGGAAGCAACCCCACGGCAGCAGAAGAUAAGCACACCAGGAGUCCACAGUGAGCUGGAGGAGACUCUUUCAGAAAGAAACCAAAAUUCACUGGCUCACCGGAACUCCUGAUGGCAAAACUGACCUAUCAGAAUGGUCACCUGUUUAUCCAGAACCCCUGACUGGUGGCUUUGGCCUUAGCGAUACUUUCAUUCUGAGUGGAUCUGCUUUUGUGGAGUGGGAAGGGUAUGGAUGUGUGGGUGUUAUUUGAGGGGAGAAAUAAAAAACAGUCUCCUGAUUAAUCCCCUGCU